CUCUCUUAGCCCCAGUGUGCCAUCCUUAAGCGGCCACGGAGAAGGGCACUGCCGGUCGAUGGGAUUUGGCCGGGUCCUCCCUGUGCUUGAACAUCCCCGUGCGUGUCCAGCCUUGCUGCUGGGUGCGUGACCCCAGCCUGUGCUGCAAGCCCCGCUCCCCGUUCCAGCCCAGCGAGGUACCCGCUUUUCUGGCCAAACCAGCAGCCAGGUGGGGAAUCUGGGUGUGAUGGUAUGAGGACACGGUGCCCUUCCCUGAAGCUCCUGCCUGCACACAGCUCAGUCUUGCUCUGCUCCUGGAGCCUGCCAGCCCCCUCGAGAGUGGAGCAGGAGGUGGGAAGGGAGAAGUCGUGGCUGAGCAGGGCUGGAGAGGUGCAGCUCUACAGGGACAUCCAUCUCCUGCCCUGCCCAAUCCCGAGCCAAAGGGGCUGAGCUAGUGUGUAGCAAGGGGACAGGGGCAUAAUAAGGGAUGCAGGGAGGUUUCACAGAGGCCAGAGGUGUUUUCCCUAACUCUGUGUUUGUUUGUGCUCAGGUCAGAGCCUUCCCAGCCCCGGAGAGAUGCUUGCUGCUGAGGAGCUGCUUGCUUACUUUGGCCUCAGCUGAGAGGCCUCAGCCCAGGGUAAAGCAGCCCCGAACACUGUCCUGUUUGUGCUUUGGGAAGGGGCAUUUGUGGCUGUCCUGUCACGGUGGGAGCAGGUGAAAGAGCUGAAGGUUGUUUUCACCCCAGCGUCUGCCACAGGGGAUUCUCCAAACAGGAUCCCACCUCAUCCAGAUACGUGCAGAGCAGCAGGUCAGAUUCCCUGGAUCCAGGUCUGUGUUCCAGUCCCAGGGAAACCUCCCAGGAGUGUGUGAGGCAGGAGGUGCAGCCCCUGUGCAGCGAUGUCCUUGCUAUGGGCAGCCCGUGACACCGAGGGAUGCUCCCAGACCCUUUGGCACAGCUCCUGCUCAGGCCUCACUGCCCUGACCCCUGAGCCCUCCUGUCCUCCACAGCAUCUGCCAUCCCCCAGGAAACCUUCCUGCAAGCUCAGGCUGGACAGUAUGGGAACACUAGAAGCUCCUGGUGGGGAUGUCACUGGUAUCACUGUCCAAGCUCCCUGUUCCAUGGAGAGGAUCCUGCCCCAGGGUGCAAACUGGAAAUUUGCUGCAGACCCCAUAGAUGCAUCCCCGGGUGGACGGCCCCUACUCAGGACAGAGAGGACCUAAAUGCUGGUGAGAUGCCAUUUUCCCUUGUGCACCAUCUGAGGGACACAGGGGACAGGGUGAGCAAGGCUUGGGAGCUUGCAAGGGAGAACAAGGGCAGUGGGAAGGAGCAGCCAGGCAAGGGGAACUUGUACCCUCCCAGACAAUAAGCUGAGAUGAGGAAGUGCAAAGGCUCCUGGAGAAACCCAGUGAUGCUGCUCGGGGCUGGGCAGAGCAGUCCAGGAAAUUGGGAUCGGGUCUGAGGAGCCCAGGCUGGACUGGAAUCUGCCAGGACAAGGUUUAGGAUUCACUGAGCAGAGGGAGAAGGAUGUGAAGACUGCUGCAGAACUUGUUUGAGGACCUGGGGUAGGAGAGGUGAGAUGUGGAAAGGCACACGCUUGCAGGGGUGUGACCUCUGGAAGUCACGGCAUGUGGGGCAGCUGUGAAACUGAGCUCCCUCAGUCCUGGCAUUUCCCAACAGUCAGCAUGG